AUUAAAUUUUAUGAUGAUUUAUUAAUUAAUUACAUUUAUGUAUUAAUAUAAAAAAAUUUUUAUUAAAAAUUUGUUGUUUAAUUUAAUAAUUAAAUUUAAAAAAUUAAUGAAAGUUAAAUUUAGAAAAUAAAAUUAAUAAAGAUAAAUAUUGGUGCCAGCAAUAGCGGUUAAACCAAUUUUAUAAAUUAAUUAUUUUAAUUGAUAUUAAUAUAAUAUUUAAAUAAAUUUAAUUAAAUUUAAAUAUUUUAGGUGAAAUUUAAUUUUUAAAUAAAUUAAAUUUUUUAUUUAUAAAUAUAAUAAGAUAAAGCAAUAGACUAGGAUUAGAUACCCUAUUAUAUAAAAUAAUAAUGUUAGAUUUAUAAAUAAAUGUAUAAUCAUUAAAAUUAAAUUAUAUGGCGGCUUUUCAUUCUUAUUAGAGAAAUUUGUAGUUUAAUUUGAUGAUCCACGAUAAGAUUUACUUGAAUAUAAAUUUAUGUAUUGUUGUAUAUUUUUAUAUAAAAUUAUUUAUAAUUAAUAUUUAAUAAAAUUAAAAUUCAAAUCAAAAUGUAGUUUAUUUAAGGAUUUAUGAGUUAUAAUAAAUUUUAUUUAUGGAUAAUUAAAUUUUAAUAAUAAUUAGAAAGAGGAUUUAAAAGUAAAUUUAAUAAAUUAAUUAAUUUGAAAUUAGUUUUGAAAAGUGUACAAAUUGCCCGUCAAUUUCAAUUAUGAGGAAUAAGUCGUAACAUAGUAAAGAUAUUGGAAAAUGUUUUUAGAUAAAA
rnacentral:ncRNA from 1 species